rnacentral:rRNA from 1 species
UUCUCCUGGAAAACGGGUGGUAAUGCCGGAUGCUCCGACUCCUCGCAUGGGGUGUCGGGAAAGAUUUCAUCGGUAUGGGAUGGGGUCGCGUCCUAUCAGGUAGUCGGCGGGGUAACGGCCCACCGAGCCUACGACGGGUAGCCGGCCUGAGAGGGCGACCGGCCACAUUGGGACUGAGAUACGGCCCAGACUCCUACGGGAGGCAGCAGUGGGGAAUAUUGCACAAUGGGCGCAAGCCUGAUGCAGCGACGCCGCGUGCGGGAUGACGGCCUUCGGGUUGUAAACCGCUUUUGAUCGGGAGCAAGCCUUCGGGUGAGUGUACCUUUCGAAUAAGCACCGGCUAACUACGUGCCAGCAGCCGCGGUAAUACGUAGGGUGCAAGCGUUAUCCGGAAUUAUUGGGCGUAAAGGGCUCGUAGGCGGUUCGUCGCGUCCGGUGUGAAAGUCCAUCGCUUAACGGUGGAUCUGCGCCGGGUACGGGCGGGCUGGAGUGCGGUAGGGGAGACUGGAAUUCCCGGUGUAACGGUGGAAUGUGUAGAUAUCGGCAAGAACACCA